UAAGGAAUAUUGGUCAAUGGACGCAAGUCUGAACCAGCCAUGCCGCGUGAAGGAUUAAGGCCCUCUGGGUUGUAAACUUCUUUUAUAGGGGAAGAAAUGUGACGGUCCUCCGUCACUUGACGGUACCCUGGGAAUAAGCACCGGCUAACUCCGUGCCAGCAGCCGCGGUAAUACGGAGGGUGCAAGCGUUAUCCGGAUUCACUGGGUUUAAAGGGUGCGUAGGUGGGCAGAUAAGUCAGUGGUGAAAUCUUCCGGCUUAACCGGGAAACUGCCGUUGAUACUAUUUGUCUUGAAUAUUGCGGAGGUAAGCGGAAUAUGUCAUGUAGCGGUGAAAUGCUUAGAUAUGACAUAGAACACCAAUUGCGAAGGCAGCUUACUACACAAUCAUUGACACUGAGGCACGAAAGCGUGGGUAGCGAACA
rnacentral:rRNA from 1 species